UACGUAGGGUGCAAGCGUUGUCCGGAAUUAUUGGGCGUAAAGAGCUCGUAGGCGGUCUGUCGCGUCGGCUGUGAAAACCCGGAGCUCAACUCCGGGCCUGCAGUCGAUACGGGCAGGCUAGAGUUCGGCAGGGGAGACUGGAAUUCCUGGUGUAGCGGUGAAAUGCGCAGAUAUCAGGAGGAACACCGGUGGCGAAGGCGGGUCUCUGGGCCGAUACUGACGCUGAGGAGCGAAAGCGUGGGGAGCGAACAGG
rnacentral:rRNA from 1 species